rnacentral:lncRNA from 1 species
GGCACUGUGACAUUAGGAACUUGGGCUGAAAGCCUGCUGGUUUGAUCACUGCUCAAAGAAGAAAAAUUCUUCAACUUUGCAGCCCGUUCUCUCCUCAGCUGCACCAAGCCAGUAUUCCAACAAAGGACAUGAGAAAGGGAAACUAACCAGGUACACCGAACCCCUAGCGAGCAGAACCCUUUCAAAGCCACUGAAUGGUCUUCCUCUUUGUGGAAGCCGGGGAGGGAAGUGGCUCAAACCAUCCCGUCUGUCUUGUUCAUCACCCACCUGGGCUGGAGCUCUGAGCAGAGCCGUUGAUUACGGGAAGGUUAAUGCCACGCUUCUAGCAACCAUGGAGGACAAUGAGAAGUCCGCUUCUCUGAUGGGUUUUCUUUCUGACCCAAAGACAGAAAAAUCGAGAAGAAAUACAAGAGGCAGGACUGGAUCCCUCGAAUCUGUCUGGACUUGUCGGCUCACCUGAGUUAGACUGUGAGUUCAGGCCUCCUCCGCCCGGCCAGAGAGGGUCCCCCCCACUUUCUCUUGGGGGUUGACAUCUCAAAUGAGGUGACUGUCCUUCAUGCUGCCGAUCAUGCUGUAACUCACAGCAUUUUCUUUUCACGAUGAAAAUGACGCCUUCGUUUUCAACUCCCCAAAUUUCUUAAUUUCUCCCCAAUCAGCUUCUAUCAUGCUGACUCUGAGAGGCCGAGCUGCCACUGUGUGUCUCAUAAAAGUGCUCAGUGUUCGUGUGUAGAGAAUAAGGCUCCGUAGUGAGCCGGGGUUUAAU